CGUAGGUGGCAAGCGUUGUCCGGAUUUAUUGGGUUUAAAGGGUGCGUAGGCGGUCUUAUAAGUCAGUGCUGAAAUAUCCCGGCUUAACCGGGAGGGUGGCAUUGAUACUGUAGGACUUGAGUGAAGUCGAAGUAGGCGGAAUUGACGGUGUAGCGGUGAAAUGCUUAGAUAUCGUCAAGAACACCGAUAGUGAAGACAGCUUACUAGACUUCAACUGACGCUGAGGCACGAAAGUGUGGGGAUCAAACAGGAUUAGAUACCCUGGUAGUCCACACUGUAAACGUUGAUUACUCGCUGUUUGCGAUACACAGCAAGCGGCUUAGCGAAAGCGAUAAGUAAUCCACCUGGGGAGUACGCCGGCAACGGUG
rnacentral:rRNA from 1 species